UUUUAUCAUGGUGACUGAGAAACAAAGUCAGGUGUUGAAUGAAGAUGUGCACAGGUUUAAAGAUCAAGUUGGCCACUUUUCCCAGAAAGUUGCUCUAGCUGGUUGUAAUGACUUUGAAUUUAGUCCAGCAAAAUGGUGGGGAAAUUAUGGAACACAGGUUCCAACUUUACAAAAAAUGGCCAUAAGAAUCUUGUACUUGACUUCCAGUGCAUCUGGCUGUGAAAGGAAUUGGAGUUGCUUUGAAGGGAUUCAUACAAGUAAAAGAAACAGGCUGACAUGUGAGAGGUUGAAUCAGCUUGUCUUUGUUCGGUUCAAUAAUCUACAUGCAA